AUUCUGCCGAGUGGAAGUAUCCCAGCAGAGACAGAAGCAGGCGCAAUAAGGACUAGGAAUGAGAGACAACUCAGGUUACCAGAGUUUCUCAACAAAUUUCAAAAUGAUCCUCCGCUCAGGCCGUGAAAAGCCGUACGGAGUGCCUCCUUAUCGAAGGGGACCAAUGAGAAGGAAAUUUCUGCCUAGCACCAGAUCAGCAGCUGCUGAAAACUCAGAUCUUCAACUGCGACAAACACUGAGGUGCUAUAUACAGACUGAAGAUUCAAAAACCGUGCAUUUCAACUUAGAUGAAUGGGGUCGUCAUGAAAUAUCAACUAUGGAUUCACAAGGCCCUGCAGAUACAGCAUGGUUAAGCCUGUUCACAAGCAAGGAACCAGCAGUUAGAGCAAAAACAAACUCUAAAAAUGUGGUGGUCCUCAUGCAGCGAUUAAAGUGUAAUGAAUUUGUGCUGUUGAGCAAAGGUGAAAACCAACUCUGUCUGAAGGUUUUAAAGGGAUGCUGUUCCGAGCCAGAUCAUACUACCACAGAAGAAGGCAACAGGAAAAGGUGCAACAAGGGAGGUCUUGACUUCAAAAAGCUGAAGGAAGAUAAUCACUUUUUCAUCAUGCAUUCUGAAGGAGACUCAGUGAAGUUCCAGUGCUACGAAGACAAAAAUUACUUUCUGCAUGUGAAUGAUCACUCACUUGACAUACGCAAACUGGAUCGUGAUGACCCUGAUGGGGAGAGAAACUUUGUUUUCAAGAAAAUAAUAAAUUCAGUCAGCUCUGUGAUGAGAAGUCAGAUCAACACUUCAUGGAUACUCAUCUUUCCAAGACUUACUUUGCACAUACAAAACCUGUAAACUGACAUUUUCAGCUUCCAACUAACCCGAACAAGUAACAGACAAGGGGGAAAGCAUAUAUUAGUUUUAUUUAGACAUAAAUACAAAACUAAUGCCAGUGAGUGUUUUUUAAUAAUACAGUCUCCCCACUUUGCAGUGGGGAAAAAAACCCCACAUUCAUCCAAUGUGUCUAACAUUUGAAUACAAAAUAUAAUUACUACUUUGCAGUUUAUUUUCAAAAUGAGGCAGAUAUUCUUAAACUUCUACUUUGCAGAUAUGAUAAUUAUUAAAAUAUUAAUAUAAAUAUAUCAGUUUUGUUUUUCUGCACUACAAAAGCUGUGCCUAAUAGAAAAUACUGGGUUCUGUUUGUUGGAAAAUAAUUCAGUGCAAGCAUUCUUCAUAUGUAGCUUCAUGGGCCUCUGGUACUUUGACCAUAUUUGUGACCUGUUAGAAUAAGAUUUGUAAAAGAACAUCAUUCAAUAUAAAUAAUGUCAUUCUGAUGCUAGUUAAUCCAAUGGGAGUUAAAAAAAGUGGGAAGAAGUGGUGACCAUACCUGCAUAGGAUCUAUGUGCUGAUUAAUCCAGAGACUGGAUUUCUUUUGUCCUUGGAGAAGGGAGUGGUCACUCACAGUAGAGAAAUGCUGAAGAUUGACAAGAGGAUCACUGCAUUAAAGUCUGCUUAGGAUAAACCGUUGUACAUUAAAGCAUGAGAUUGUUACCCAACAUUGCUAGGCCUGAUAUAAAUGUCUUCUAUGCACUGUGUUACAUACUAUCUUCAUUAUUGACAACUGUGGAUUAUGAACUAGAUAUCAAAAUUAGAAAUUGUUCAUCUAAUAAAUGUUUUCACAGUCGGAAUAAAAGGUAAUGACAUAGCUUGAGUGCAGUUACAACAGUACUGAAAUAUGUAAAACUUGUAAGUAAUUCAAGUUAACCAUUUUCUAUUAAAGGAACACUAUCAAAUACUAUGUACAUUUCCAUUUAUUCUGUUAAUUCUAAUUAGUAACACAAUAAAGGCAU
rnacentral:lncRNA from 7 species